AAGUUAGGGAGAAAAUUUUAGUUGCAAGAAGAGUAGAGGUUCUGAAGAGUUUUCGGGGAAACAAAUUCGGAGCAAGAGAUUAAGUCUGGAAUAGAGAUGGCAAGGAGGAUACGUUGGAAACAGUACUUGAUGGGGAAGACAAUGCUGCAGCUUAGAUUCGCUAGCUUUUAUUAGUUAGCUUUGAUGAACUUUUGUACGUUUAAAGCUUUAAAUUCUAUGUAAUUUCUAGGGAGAAACCCUAAUACUCUAAGUUUUCAAUUCCAUGCUAUUCUAAGGAUGAUUGUAAUCCUUAAA